CUCAGAUUGAACGCUGGCGGCAUGCCUUACACAUGCAAGUCGAACGGUAACGGGCCUUCGGGUGCCGACGAGUGGCGAACGGGUGAGUAAUGUAUCGGAACGUACCUUUCAGUGGGGGAUAACGUAGCGAAAGUUACGCUAAUACCGCAUAUUCUGUGCGACAGGAAAAGCAGGGGGAUCGCAAGACCUUGCGCUGAUUGAGCGGCCGAUAUCAGAUUAGCUAGUUGGUGAGGUAAAGGCUCACCAAGGCGACGAUCUGUAGCUGGUCUGAGAGGACGACCAGCCACACUGGAACUGAGACACGGUCCAGACUCCUACCGGGAGGCAGCAGUGGGGAACUUUGGACAAUGGGCGCAAGCCUGAUCCAGCAAUGCCGCGUGCAGGAUGAAGGCCUUCGGGUUGUAAACUGCUUUGUACGGAACGAAACGGCUCUUCUAAUAAAGAGAGCUAAUGACGGUACCGUAAGAAUAAGCACCGGCUAACUACGUG
rnacentral:rRNA from 1 species